rnacentral:lncRNA from 1 species
AACCCUAUGCACAACCACCUGGUGUGACUCACCCCCGAUUUUGAGGUCAAACCGGUCAAACCCUCUGCACACCCUCCUGGCGUGACUUACCUCCGGUUUUGAGGUCAAACCGGUCAAACCCUCUUACACACCCUGCAAGCCAUGACUCACCGAUGUCGACGUGUGUCCGGCCUCCGCUAAGCCUUCGACGCCUCCAAGUCUUUCGCUCCCGGCUCCUGGGCCACCUACUCGACUCGCCUCCAUCCCACUUGACUCGACCGACGUCGUCUCCAUCCCGUCCGUGUACUCUUGCUCUUCUGUGCACCAUGUGGAUCGCCCAUGACUGUUCCCGGACUCCUCGGGUCCCUCGGUCCAAGCCUACUCAUGUCCACCCUUCACAGCCCUAGUACAUCGGCAUGAACCUUUCGCUUGACCUUCACCUCAUGCCGUCGACCGCCAUGUCGCAUCCUACACAUGCACAUCACAAGCCAAGAGACACAACACACAAGAUAUGUUUUAUACAAACACCGCAACACAACUCACACAACUCACACCUCCGGUUAGCCGUUAGCAUAAUCAAUGCAUAUAUGGAAUAUGGACUCAACCGGUAAAGCCUCAAAUCGUCUAGUCAAUCACUCAUCACAAAUACACCAAGGCACUUCUCAACUUGGUCUCUCAAUCUCCCGCUUGAUAAGUGCAUUGACAAAAGAUGAUUUGAAAGCAAAAGAGAACUGAUUCAAGUGCCCAAGAACUAAGUAAAAGCAAACACAAGGCCACUUGAAAUGAGAAGGGAUCAUGCAAGCUCUGAACAAAAAUUCUAGGUUGCAUCAAAGCUAUUUGUCAAUCUCCCCCUUGAAGAAUCCCACAAGACAACAAAAAAGUCAGGCGGGAGACACAAGAGCUUCAUGAAUCCCAAAAUGUCGUCAAAGCCAUUUCAACAGUUGUCAAACGCUCAUCACAAUUAAAUCAAGGUUCAUAUCAACUUGAUUUUCUCAAUCUCCC